GGCCAAGUGGCGGAAUUGGCAGACGCGACGGACUCAAAAUCCGUUUUCCUUGACCGGAAGUGAGGGUUCGAGUCCCUCCUUGGCCA
rnacentral:tRNA from 1 species